rnacentral:tRNA from 1 species
GCGCAUGUGGCGUAAUGGUAGCCGCGUUAGACUUAGGAUCUAAUGAUCUCAGAUCGUGGGGGUUCGAGUCCCUUCAUGCGCA